rnacentral:rRNA from 1 species
AGCAGCCGCGGUAAUUCCAGCUCCAAUAGCGUAUAUUAAAGUUGUUGCAGUUAAAAAGCUCGUAGUUGAAUUUCGGGGUUAGUAGGUUGGUCAUGCCUCUGGUAUGUACUGGUCUCACUGAUUCCUCCUUCCUGAUGAACCGUAAUGCCAUUAAUUUGGUGUUGCGGGGAAUUUGGACUGUUACUUUGAAAAAUUAGAGUGUUUAAAGCAAGCUAACGCUUGAAUACAUUAGCAUGGAAUAAUGAAAUAGGACGUUCGAUCCUAUUUUGUUGGUUUCUAGGAUUGACGUAAUGAUUAAUAGGGAUAGUUGGGGGCAUUAGUAUUCAAUUGUCAGAGGUGAAAAUUCUUGGAUUUAUUGAAGACUAACUACUGCGAAAAGCAUUUGCCAAGGAUGUUUUCAUUAAUCAAGAACGAAAGUUAGGGGAUCGAAGACGAUCAGAUACCGUCGUAGUCUUAACCAUAAACUAAUGACCGACUAGGGAUCGGAUGAUGUUAAUUUUUAAUGUACUCAUUCGGCGCCUUAC